rnacentral:lncRNA from 1 species
CACAACAUAUGGGACAAUAUAAUAGAAAUCCUGGUUAUAUUCUUUCCUUUUGUGUAAUUCAUUGCACCAAUCGUGUUUGAUCAAAGUUAUGAAACUCAUAAUAUUGCUAUCUAUUUUUAAAGCAUGCAUGUUUUUCUUCUUUUUAAUCUUUGCUUUAGGGAACAGCCUUUAAGAGCUGGAAGAUGAAAGCUCCGAUUCCACACUUGAUUCUCUUAUACGCUACUUUUACUCAGAGUUUGAAGGUUGUGACCAAAAGAGGCUCCGGGACACAAAAUGGACUAAGAUGGAACGUGGGCCGUGUUGCAUGCUAUCCCAGACUCAGGCCUGAGGAAGACUCUACCAAGUGGAAUGCUCCUGGUCACUGUGGCAGGAGGAAGGGGAGUGCUAGAAAAUCUUGCAAUUUAAUUAAAUGCUAUCGUCCAGAAGUGAUGUACAACAUUUCUGUCCACAACUCUUUGGCCAGAAUUAUUCUCAUGAUCCUGCCAAGGGCAAGGUGGCAAAGAAUUACCAUUCUUUCAUGUGGCUGGGAGGGAAAAAAGAACCAGAUUGAGAAGAGCAUUAGAUAUCUCUGUCACAUCAGAGGAACAAAUUAG